rnacentral:rRNA from 1 species
AUGGCUCAGGAUGAACGCUAGCGACAGGCUUAACACAUGCAAGUACGAGGGGUAACGAGGGUAGCAAUACCGCUGACGACCGGCGCACGGUGAGUAACGCGUAUGCAACCUGCCUAUAACUGGGGAAUAGCUCCCUGAAAGGGGAAUUAACACCGCAUAACACUAUUGAUUCGCAUGGAUUAGUAGUUAAAUGUAGCGAUACAGGUUAUAGAUGGGCAUGCGUGACAUUAGCUAGUUGGUGAGGUAACGGCUCACCAAGGCUACGAUGUCUAGGGGUUCUGAGAGGAAGGUCCCCACACUGGUACUGAGACACGGACCAGACUCCUACGGGAGGCAGCAGUGAGGAAUAUUGGUCAAUGGGCGCAAGCCUGAACCAGCCAUGCCGCGUGCAAGGAAGACGGCCUUAUGGGUUGUAAACUGCUUUUACAUAAGACUAACCGUAUAUUUGCGAAUAUACCUGAAUGUAUUAUGAGAAUAAGGAUCGGCUAACUCCGUGCCAGCCGCCGC